rnacentral:rRNA from 1 species
AGCGAACGCUGGCGGCAGGCCUAACACAUGCAAGUCGAACGAACCUUUCGGGGUUAGUGGCGGACGGGUGAGUAACACGUGGGAACGUGCCCUUAGGUUCGGCAUAACUCAGGGAAACUUGUGCUAAUACCGAAUGUGCCCUUCGGGGGAAAGAUUAAUCGCCCUUAGAGCGGCCCGCGUCUGAUUAGCUAGUUGGUUGAGGUAAUGGCUCACCAAGGCGACGAUCAGUAGCUGGUCUGGGAGGCUGAUCAGCGACAUUGGGGCUGAGACACGGCCCAAACUCCUACGGGAGGCAGCAGUGGGGAAUCUUGCGCAAUGGGCGAAAGCCUGACGCAGCCAUGCCGCGUGAAUGAUGAAGGUCUUAGGAUUGUAAAAUUCUUUCACCGGGGACGAUAAUGACGGUACCCGGAGAAGAAGCCCCGGCUAACUUCGUG